GGGGAAUAUUGCACAAUGGAGGAAACUCUGAUGCAGCGACGCCGCGUGAGUGAAGAAGUAUUUCGGUAUGUAAAGCUCUAUCAGCAGGGAAGAAAAUGACGGUACCUGACUAAGAAGCACCGGCUAAAUACGUGCCAGCAGCCGCGGUAAUACGUAUGGUGCAAGCGUUAUCCGGAUUUACUGGGUGUAAAGGGAGCGUAGGUGGCAAGGCAAGCCAGAAGUGAAAACCCGGGGCUCAACCGCGGGAUUGCUUUUGGAACUGUCAUGCUAGAGUGCAGGAGGGGUGAGCGGAAUUCCUAGUGUAGCGGUGAAAUGCGUAGAUAUUAGGAGGAACACCGGAGGCGAAGGCGGCUCACUGGACUGUAACUGACACUGAGGCUCGAAAGCGUGGGGAGCAAACAGGAUUAGAUACCCUAGUAGUCCACGCGGUAAACGAUGAAUACUAGAUGUCGGGUAGCAAAGCUAUUCGGUGUCGUCGCAAACGCAAUAAGUAUUCCACCUGGGGAGUACGUUCGCAAGAAUGAAACUCAAAGGAAUUGACGGGGACCCGCACAAGCGGUGGAGCAUGUGGUUUAAUUCGAAGCAACGCGAAGAACCUUACCUGCUCUUGACAUCCCAUUCGAUAGAGGGUAAUGCCUCUAGCCCUUCGGGGGAAUGGAGACAGGUGGUGCAUGGUUGUCGUCAGCUCGUGUCGUGAGAUGUUGGGUUAAGUCCCGCAACGAGCGCAACCCUUAUUGUCAGUAGCCAGCAGGUGAAGCUGGGCACUCUGAUGAGACUGCCGGGGAUAACCCGGAGGAAGGUGGGGAUGACGUCAAAUCAUCAUGCCCCUUAUGAGCAGGGCUACACACGUGCUACAAUGGCGUAAACAGAGGGAAGCGAAGGAGUGAUCCGGAGCAAAUCUCAAAAAUAACGUCUCAGUUCGGAUUGUAGUCUGCAACUCGACUACAUGAAGCUGGAAUCGCUAGUAAUCGCAGAUCAGAAUGCUGCGGUGAAUACGUUCCCG
rnacentral:rRNA from 1 species